CACUAAGCAAGAUAAUAUCGUGUUUAUGUGAUACUAAAUGUGAGAAUAAUGUUCUGAAAUGUAUCAUUCUACAGCUGCAGCUUUAUUUCCAAAUCAUUUUAACAUUUACAAGUUGCAUCUUAUUAAACCAGGAAAUUCAUGUCUGAGGAAACUGAUAUCCGCAUUUGGAUAAACUGAACGAGACUUCAGCAAGAGUUUGGCGCAACUACAUCCACUGGUGAUGCCGGAGGUCACUUCCACCAGAAGUGAUAGGCUAACAUCCAAAGGCAUUAUGUUUUUAUGCAACACCACAGCCAUCAAGGACUGGAGCUUUUUUCUCUCUCAGAUCAUGCCUCUUGUGAAUAAAUCAGCGGGAUUUGUUCAUCAGAGUAUGGAUCGGGUGGAGGCGGUGACGAGCACCAUGGUGACGGCUCUGGAGCCCGACCUGAGCGGCAUGAGCGCCAGUCACCCGCCGCUCAACUCCAAUCACACGUCCGGGUUGGAGCACGUUUUUCAGUACUCGUACUCCGAGAGCGACCUGCAGUUCACGGACUACAAGACACCGCCGAGGGACUCGAUACCACUGCCCAAGGCGGUGCUGUACCUGGUCAUGGCCGCGCUGGUGGUGGUGGCCGUGGCUUACGCGAUCGUGGGGCACCUGGUGAAGGAUCUCGUGCAUGAGUUUGUGGAGUGGGUGUUUGGGCCCCGUUCAGAUAACCGCAGGAGCAAGAGUGAGGUGAACUGCAUCAGCAGCAGCAUGAAUGAAAUGAGGGAACUCUCACAUCCAGUGGACAUGCGCUGCAUUGUGUACAAUCACUCCGACUGCCAAAGCACCAUUAAGAUGGAAGAACUGGUGGUCACCAUCGAUGAGGCCUCGCAGCUACCUUGUGAAGCUUACAGUGGGACCUAACUGAGAACAAACCACCACCAUUUGAUACACCCUUUAUAAUGAGGAAAAAAGCAUGUUUGCUUUAGUUUGAGCAGCAUCUGUGAUGUUGAAAGCCGGCGCGUUGAAGUCACA
rnacentral:lncRNA from 1 species